CACUAAAUUAACACUUUCAAGGUAAAUGGACUUAUGCGUCUGAAGUUGACUUAUGGCCUAUAAUAUGUAGCUGGAAUAUUGUGCUAUUCUUAUGUUGCUUGAGCUUUUGCAACUAAAGCUCAAUUUUUUGAUAUUAGUUCUUAGUUCAACAUGUGCCUAUGACUAUCAUUUUCCAGAUUUUGAAAAUUUUUGGUUAACUAUCAUGCAAAAAAGUUGGUAAAUAUAACUAGGAAAAUAAACUUAGAUCUUCUACAUAAUACAUGAGUUGCAAAUAAGGAAUGUCUUGAUGCUUGUUCAACAUCAUUAUGCUACAAAAUUUGAUAAAAAGAUUCCUCGCUAUAAUUAUUAUAUUUUCUAUAUAAGUAGCUCUGAUUGUUAGAGAAUCGCUUUAUUCUGCACUUUUUAUGGCAAAGUUACUUUACCUAUUUGUCCAUAGACCUCUUCUGACAUGCUUCUCUAGACAGGGGCUGGUACUUCCAGACUGAUGGAAAGAUGAAACUCGGGAUGACAAUAAAUGGUGCCUUCAAGAAAGCCUUAGCUACUUGGAAAUCUUGGAUUGAAAAGAAGGUCAACACUAAUAGGACACGUGUAUUCUUUCGGACUUUUGAAGCUACUCAUUGGAGUGUUGGAUCCCCUGAGAAAUGUGUUGUGACACGACAGCCCUGGUCAGAAACCAACGGCAAGGAUGAGAGUGCGUUUUCAGACAUGAUUAUUGAUACUGUGACUAAUGUAUCCAAACCCGUGACAUUGCUGCAUGUCACUCCGAUGGGGGCAUACCGGAGCGAUGCACAUGUUGGUACUUGGAGUGAUAAUCCAUUAGUGCCAGAUUGUAGCCAUUACUGCUUACCUGGUGUGCCUGAUAUGUGGAACGAACUGCUUUUCGCCUUUCUAUUUUCGGAUCAGCAGUAUCAGAUUCGUUAGCAUCCUGAAUAUGCAAGUUUUAUUCAACAGCUUGUUUGACCUUUAACACAAAGUCAUGGUCAUUCUUCGUCUAGGACUUCGCAAGGAUUGCUGUUACAAAUUUACUUUUUUUUGUAUAGUGGUCUACGUGAAUAGUUAUGAUUCAUAUAGCCGAUCUCAAAUGUGCUUAAGAUUGAGGAAUAGCAGUAUUAGUUGUUGUUUAGUGUGUGGUGGCUCCAGAGAGCUUAUACUCAUGCAAUUUAUUAGGAAUACGAAAGUUGAUUUAGAGGAAAUUAAUGCCAAAGUGAUGUGUUCAAGUGAACAA